rfam:Triticum urartu cultivar G1812 contig486836, whole genome shotgun sequence.
CUUGUACUCCCUCCGUUCCAAAUUAUUUGUCGCAGAAAUGGAUGUAUCUAAAACUAAAAUACAUUUAGAAACAUCCAUUUCUACGACGAAUAAUUUGGAACGGAGGGAGUAGAAA